AGGUCAUUUUGAGGAUAAUUUCUUAAUAAUCCCUUGUAGCGCUCCUAUGCCUCAUAUAGUGACUCACCUGGUAGUUGCUCAAUGUUGGCUAUUGCCUUUUUGAGUUU